GACGAACGCUGGCGGCGCGCCUAACACAUGCAAGUCGAACGGAGUUGUUAUGACAGAAUCUUCGGAUGAUGGAUUGACAACUUAGUGGCGAACGGGUGAGUAACGCGUGAGCAAUCUGCCUUAAAGAGGGGGACAACAGUUGGAAACGACUGCUAAUACCGCAUAAGCCCACACUACCGCAUGGUAGAGUGAGAAAAGAUUUUAUCGCUUUAAGAUGAGCUCGCGUCUGAUUAGCUAGUUGGUGGGGUAACGGCCUACCAAGGCAACGAUCAGUAGCCGGACUGAGAGGUUGAUCGGCCACAUUGGGACUGAGACACGGCCCAGACUCCUACGGGAGGCAGCAGUGGGGAAUAUUGCACAAUGGGGGAAACCCUGAUGCAGCGACGCCGCGUGAGGGAAGAAGGUAUUCGUAUUGUAAACCUCUGUCUUCGGGGACGAUAAUGACGGUACCCGUGGAGGAAGCACCGGCUAACUACGUGCCAGCCGCCGCGGUAAAAC
rnacentral:rRNA from 1 species